rnacentral:rRNA from 1 species
AGCAGCCGCGGUAAUUCCAGCUCCAAUAGCGUAUAUUAAAGUUGCUGCAGUUAAAAAGCUCGUAGUUGAAUUUCGGGACUAAUAUGUCGGUCGUGCCUCGGUACGUACUGGUUUAUUGGUUUCUCCUUUCUGAAGAACCAUGAUGUCAUUUAUUUGGUGUCGUGGGGAAUCAGGACUGUUACUUUGAAAAAAUUAGAGUGUUUAAAAGCAGGCUCACGCUUGAAUACAUUAGCAUGGAAUAAUGAAAUAGGACGUUUGAUUCUAUUUUGUUGGUUUCUUAGGAUCGACGUAAUGAUUAAUAGGGAUAGUUGGGGGCAUUAGUAUUCAAUUGUCAGAGGUGAAAUUCUUGGAUUUAUUGAAGACUAACUACUGCGAAAGCAUUUGCCAAGGAUGUUUUCAUUAAUUCAAGAACGAAAGUUAGGGGAUCGAAGACGAUCAGAUACCGUCGUAGUCUUAACCAUAAACUAUGCCGACUAGGGAUCGGAUGAUGUAAUUUUUAAUGUACUCAUUCGGCGCCUUA